rnacentral:lncRNA from 1 species
UCGGCAUAUGGGGCUGGCGUGUAGAUCGCAGGGAGCGAGGUGGGUGACAGCGGGGACACAGCGCUGUGGUGGAGAGCGCAGGGACCCCCGCUCCCACCCGAAGCCCACCGCGCGCAGGCGUGAGGGCUGUGGCAGCCUCGCGAGGCGGGAAGCCGAAAUGUGGUAUUGAUCCUCGCGGAGGGAGAGCUGAGUGGUUCUGGCAUCCGCCAGCCCCAACCUCUGCCCUCCCCGUGGCUCAACCAGCUCCAGGCCGCCAGCAGCAUCCCUUCCCCGCGCCACCACCCCCGGGGCCCCGAGCCCUGCGCACGCUCCUCGCCUCCUGCUGACUUCAGCGCAUCGGCUUGGGCUCGGCGCCUGUAAAUUCCUCGCAAAACCUGGGCCUAAAAUAUCUGGAGGAGGAGGACGGAGCGCCUUGGGCGAGGGAGAUGAGAUCUUCAGCUGCGGGAGAGAGGGAGGCAGCUCCGGGCUCCUCCAGCUGCCGGCCCCCGGGAAUUCGCCGGGAAUAAAUCUCACCCAGCCAACUCGGUGGUUGGGGUUGGGAUGAGGAGCCGGGGGCACCCGGGGCGGUGGCAUGGGAGCGAGCUGAGGAAGGACAAUAAUGAAAUAAUAAAUGCCGAGAGGGAGGUGCUAGGCGGGAGCUGUGUGAGAACCAGUUUGCGAGGUCCAGAUUGGCAGCAGAUCCUGAACCAGGAGGAGCCGAGCAUCCAUACGGCCCCUGCCGAGAUCAGACGAGACGACAGCGGCUUGGUUUGGGGGAAGAAAUUGGAGGCGGGGGAAGCUUUUUUGCUGAAAUGAAAUUUGAACCCCGAAGUGGGAGGGAAGUGGAGGUGGGGGGCACGGCUCUCUCCACAUGGUUAUUACUGCUGUUUUCCACCCAGCUGAAAGGAGAAUGUAGCUUAAUAUGGACCCGCGGGGAGGAGAAGCGAUCGGGAGCAGGGAUUUGUCAGGAGGGAGCUGGGAAGCAGCGAGCAGUGUAGAGGUGAGAGCGGCCGGCGGUGUGCCCGAGGUGAUGGCUGUCUGGCCGUGGGCGCGG